GAUAUGGCUCAGGAUGAACGCUAGCUACAGGCUUAACACAUGCAAGUCGAGGGGCGGCAUGGUCUUAGCUUGCUAAGGCCGAUGGCGACCGGCGCACGGGUGAGUAACACGUAUCCAACCUGCCGUCUACUCUUGGACAGCCUUCUGAAAGGAAGAUUAAUACAAGAUGGCAUCAUGAGUUCACAUGUUCACAUGAUUAAAGGUAUUCCGGUAGACGAUGGGGAUGCG
rnacentral:rRNA from 1 species